rnacentral:rRNA from 1 species
CUUUGGCGGCUCCGGCCGCCAAAGGACCUUCAAACUCCAGUCAGUAAACGCAGACGUCUGAUAAACAAGUUAAUAAACUAAAACUUUCAACAACGGAUCUCUUGGUUCUGGCAUCGAUGAAGAACGCAGCGAAAUGCGAUAAGUAAUGUGAAUUGCAGAAUUCAGUGAAUCAUCGAAUCUUUGAACGCACAUUGCGCCCCUUGGUAUUCCGGGGGGCAUGCCUGUUCGAGCGUCAUUACAACCCUCAAGCUCUGCUUGGAAUUGGGCACCGUCCUCACUGCGGACGCGCCUCAAAGACCUCGGCGGUGGCUGUUCAGCCCUCAAGCGUAGUAGAAUACACCUCGCUUUGGAGCGGUUGGCGUCGCCCGCCGGACGAACCUUCUGAACUUUUCUCAAGGUUGACCUCGGAUCAGGUAGGGAUACCCGCUGAACUUAAGCAUAUCAAUAAGCGGAGGAAAAGAAACCAACAGGGAUUGCCUUAGUAACGGCGAGUGAAGCGGCAACAGCUCAAAUUUGAAAGCUGGCCCUUUUAGGGUCCGCAUUGUAAUUUGUAGAGGAUGAUUCGGCGAGGGCUCCUGCCUAAGUCCCCUGGAACGGGGCGUCAUAGAGGGUGAGAAUCCCGUAUGCGGUAGGUUGCCUUAGCCAUGUGAAUCUCCUUCGACGAGUCGAGUUGUUUGGGAAUGCAGCUCUAAAUGGGAGGUAAAUUUCUUCUAAAGCUAAAUACCGGCCAGAGACCGAUAGCGCACAAGUAGAGUGAUCGAAAGAUGAAAAGCACUUUGGAAAGAGAGUUAAAAAGUACGUGAAAUUGUUGAAAGGGAAGCGCUUGCAACCAGACUUGUCCGCAGUUGCUCAGCCGGUCUCCUGACCGGCGUACUCUUCUGCGGCCAGGCCAGCAUCAGUUCGGGCGGUCGGAUAAAGGCCUCGGGAA